GGUAACUCCGGGGCAGGCGCCGAGGGAAGACGGAGGGUGCAAGCGUUUACCGGGUUCACUGGGUUUAAAGGGUGCGUAGGUGGGUUGGUAAGUCAGAGGUGAAAUCCCCGGGCUUAACUUGGGAACUGCCAUUGAUACUAUUAAUCUUGAAUACCGUGGAGGUCAGCGGAAUAUGUCAUGUAGCGGUGAAAUGCUUAGAUAUGACAUAGAACACCAAUUGCGAAGGCAGCUGGCUACGCGAAUAUUGACACUGAUGCACGAAAGCGUGGGGAUCAAACAGGAUUAGAUACCCUGGUAGUC
rnacentral:rRNA from 1 species